GGUGCCUCCAAACGACGUCAACGUCGGACAAGUCAAACGACAAGAGAAGUUCGACGGACGAUAAUUUAAUGCAAUAUGUGGAUGAGGUAACACAAAAUCCUCUUUUCAUUCCAUUUGCGAAAUAUACAUCACGAAGCCCAGAAGGCCAAAGGAAGGAAAGCAAAACGACAAAAGCGAAACAAAACAACAAAAGAGAAAAUGUAUACAUGCAAUGACAGAAGG
rnacentral:lncRNA from 1 species